AUGGCAGAUCUCAUGAGCGCAAGAAGUGGUUUGAAGAGACUCAAUAACCACAACUAUGGCUAUUGACAGACCUGCAUGGGUUCCUAUCUACAGGGUCAUGAACUAUGGGAGGUCGUUGCAGGCACCAAGACUACUCCUCUAGAGAGUGCAGAAGCCUUGCGGAAGUGGCGCAUCAAAGCAGGCAAGGCUAUGUUCGGAUUAAAGACACUGAAGGUGGCUUGGGAUACUUUGGCAAAGUUGUUCUCAAGAAAGAAUGAGGCGCGACUCCAGCUCUUAGAAAAUGAGCUCACUGUAAAGAAUAUUUGUCGUGAGAUAUCCCAGCUUGACCCCGAAGAGAAGAUAAGUGAGGCAAGGAUGAGAAGGAUCAUUAUCCAUGGCCUACUACCAGAGUACAAUGGUUUUAUGGCCGCAGUGAAAGGAUAGCCUACACAACCAUCUUUGGUUGAGUUGGAGAAUUUGUUGGCUAAUCAGGAGGUGCUAGCUAAGGAGAUGGGUGGGAUCACCUUGAAAGAGACAGACGAGGAGGAGGCGCUCUUUGUCAAAAGAAAGAAGAGUCCACUAAGAGGUCGAGAAGAUGUGAAGGGGAAGUGGACAAUAAGUGAAAGGUGGUGCCCAAAGGAGAGCAACUACUCAGGGGGAGCUCAGAGAAGAAGAUGA
rnacentral:rRNA from 1 species